AGAGAGAGAGAGAGAGAGAACAACAGAAGUGUCAUAUCAAACACACGCAGAAGGCUUGUGACCCUCACACAGAAUAUACAUGUAUAAAAACAAGAGGUGAGAAACAUGCACACAGUUUCUGAAGAUAAAGCACACUCAGUAAUGUACAGGGGGUCAAGCUCAAAUUAUGGCAGCAUGUGUCGACCUGACCUAUACAAUUUCCACUUGAAGUCUUUAGGGUUCAUCAGUCUCUCACGCACGGACACAGCCAAGAGGCACUUUCCAUGAAGCCAGAGGGCUCAUUUCCUUUCAUAAAAUAGUGUCGGAGUUUAUUUAGGAACAUAAACACACAGACAGAAUGUAGCAGAGAUUGUAUUCCCAUGAGUCUCUUGAGCAGGGCAUGGUAACAAGCCCAGGUUACAGUCUCUUUCCGUGACCAACACACAACACGAGCCAUCCAUAAUGUCAUUACAUUCAGCUCAAAUGUACCACACUGACAAACUCAUCCAAUUUGAUCAAAGAAUCAAACCUACUUCCUCUCUGAUGUCACACCUACUGAAAUGAAUAUAGUCAAUUUAGACAUAAGAAUCUAAGAUCGGUCCUGUUUGUCCAGCUCUGAUCUCACACACUGAACAAACAGUCCAGAUAGAGAGGACUCUACAAAUAACCACAUUAACUAAGUUGUAUAGUAUAUAGCAACGUGUAAACUUGAAUAAAUACAACAGAUUAGAGACUAAACACAACCUGCUAUGAAAGCUAGAAUAAAUUAAAGGAGCAGUUCACCUUCAAAAUGGAAAUUCUGUCAUUAUUUGCACGCCCUCUUGUCGUUUCAAACCGGCGUGGCUUUUGAAGAUAUUUUGAAGAAUGUUGGUAACAGAAAACAGAAAACCGUCGGUCCCUAUUGACUUGCAUUGGUUUUGUGUACAUACAAGUCAACAAGUCAAUGGGACCAACAGUUUUUGCUUCAACAGGGUGAGUAAAUGAUGCCAGAAAUUUCAUUUCCUUUCACAUCUCCAGUUUACUACACACUGCACAGUACACACUGCCUAGUACUCUUCAAAAAAUAGUAUGUGAAACAGUAUGCAGUAUACACAUGUUAAAUGGCUACGUUCCCUUAAACAGCCGGGGUUGUUUUACAUGUUCAAUUUAAAAAGAAAUGAGCCUUUUUCACCUCUAGGUGGCGACGGUGAGCUUUCCGCACUGCUGACCAGACUGAACCUGAGGUUACUGCGGGAUAAAACCUGAGAAUAACUCUUCAGUGUGUACAGCAAACACAGGGGUUAAGCCUGUCUGAUUUUGGGGUGGUCCUCCUGAAGCAAGACAUGUUCCAAAUCCACUUAGAAAAACCCACGCGCACACAUUGAGUCAUGCAAGGACUGUGUAAUCGGAGGCAAGAAGAGAGGAAAGUUGAAGGUGGCCAUCAUCUUUACUGUCGCGCUUGCCGCCGCUUCACUAGCUCAAGGGGCGCUGGCCCACAGGUGACGUCA